rnacentral:rRNA from 1 species
GUCCGAGCGUUGUCCGGAAUUACUGGGCGUUAAGAGCUCGUANGUGGUUUGUCGCGUUGUUCGUGAAAACCCGGGGCUUAACCCUCGGCGUGCGGGCGAUACGGGCAGACUUGAGUACUGCAGGGGAGACUGGAAUUCCUGGUGUAGCGGUGGAAUGCGCAGAUAUCAGGAGGAACACCGGUGGCGAAGGCGGGUCUCUGGGCAGUAACUGACGCUGAGGAGCGAAAGCGUGGGGAGCGAACAGGAUUAGAUACCCUGGUAGUCCACGCCGUAAACGGUGGGUACUAGGUGUGGGUUUCCUUCCUUGGGAUCCGUGCCGUAGCUAACGCAUUAAGUACCCCGCCUGGGGAGUACGGCCGCAAGGCUAAAACUCAAAGAAAUUGACGGGGGCCCGCACAAGCGGCGGAGCAUGUGGAUUAAUUCGAUGCAACGCGAAGAACCUUACCUGGGUUUGACAUGCACAGGACGUGCCUAGAGAUAGGUAUUCCCUUGUGGCCUGUGUGCAGGUGGUGCAUGGCUGUCGUCAGCUCGUGUCGUGAGAUGUUGGGUUAAGUCCCGCAACGAGCGCAACCCUUGUCUCAUG